rnacentral:rRNA from 1 species
GACGAACGCUGGCGGCGUGCUUAACACAUGCAAGUCGAACGGAAAGGCGCUGCUUGCAGGGUACUGGCGUGGCGAACGGGUGAGUAAGAAGCGGGUGAUCUGCCCUGCACUUAGGGAUAAGCAAGGGAAACAGGGUCUAAUACAGAAUAGGAGCCAUUUUUAACGUGAUGGUUGGAAAGUUUUUUCGGUGUCGGGUGAGCUCGCGGCCUAUCGGCUUGUUGGGUGGGUAAUGGGCUACCAAGGCGGCGUAGCGUAGCCCGCCUGAGAGGGUGGACCGCCACAAAGAGACUUAGAUAAGGCCGAGGCUGCGACGGGAGGGAGCAGGGGGGAAUAUUGCACAAUGAACGCAGCCCUGAUGCAGCGGCGCCGCGUAGGGGAUAACUCUGUUCGUAUUGAAAACUCCUUUCGCAAGGGACGAAGCUUUUUUUGACGGUACCUAGAUAGAAAGCACCGGCUAACUACGUG